rnacentral:rRNA from 1 species
UACGAAGGGGGCUAGCGUUGUUCGGAAUCACUGGGCGUAAAGCGCACGUAGGCGGAUCUUUAAGUCAGGGGUGAAAUCCCGAGGCUCAACCUCGGAACUGCCUUUGAUACUGAAGAUCUUGAGUUCGGGAGAGGUGAGUGGAACUGCGAGUGUAGAGGUGAAAUUCGUAGAUAUUCGCAAGAACACCAGUGGGGAAGGCGGCUCACUGGCCCGAUACUGACGCUGAGGCACGAAAGCGUGGGGAGCAAACAGG